rnacentral:rRNA from 1 species
CCUACGGGAGGCAGCAGUGGGGAAUAUUGCGCAAUGGGCGAAAGCCUGACGCAGCGACGCCGCGUGAGGGAUGAAGGUCUUCGGAUCGUAAACCUCUGUCAGCAGGGAAGAACGGUCACUGUGCUAAUCAGCAGUGAAUUGACGGUAUCUGCAAAGGAAGCACCGGCCAACUCCGUGCCAGCAGCGGCGGUAAUACGGCGGGUGUGGGCGUUAAUUGGAAUUACUGGGCGUAAAGCGAUCGUAGGUGGUAUGUCAAGUCAAUGGUGAAAUCCCCCGGCUCAACGGGGGAACUGCCUUUGAAACUGGCAAGCUGGAGUGUGUGAGAGGAUGGUGGAAUUCGAGGUGUAGGAGUGAAAUCCGUAGAUAUCAGGAGGAACAUCAGUGGCGAAGGCGACUAUCUGGCACAUAACUGACGCUGAGGAGCGAAAGCGUGGGUAGCAAACAGGAUUAGAUACCCCAGUAGUC